GUUAAGGAAGGUAACGCUGGCUUGUAUACGCGUAGAAGAUAUCGAUAGUUUGUUCGGUAACUUUCAAGUCCUUGAAGACUACGCUGUUCAGAAGCUGUUCAAAAGCUUGACCUCUUUUUGGCCAAGUUAAUUAACCACAGUGCUAAGGUACGAAUAUCCAACUAUGGUUUGUGCAUGGAAGUGGUUCCUGGUGAUGUUUUUGAUUCUUUCACUGCAAAUCUCGUUGAGUUUUAGUUGGCGGAGGAGAAGAACGAGUCUCCCGGCGUGUCGCUGCCACAAGAAGUAUCAGCCCAGAUGUAAAUUGAUAUUUAAAAGUAGCAGUGGUAAGAAAUACUCAGUGGACGACAAAAGGUGUUCAAGUCUGUGUCGACACUGCCCUUAUAGUAUCAGGUGCAAACACGACAAUACACGCGGAGCCUGGGAAACAUGGACAUGUCAGAAAUAGCGCUUUAGUAUUAGACUUGUACCCUCAGGGGGUGGGAAAGGAGUUUUUUUUCUACUUCAGACUGCUUUAUGGUUAGAUUUAUUAACUUUAAACUUCUAUCGGGUGGUAGUGUAAAUCUACUAAUCGUUCAAAACUUAUCAACAAGACACAGGCUCAAGUUAUGUUUUUGCAGAAUAAUGUCUACUUAUUUAACUCAUUGUCUAUCACUGAGUAAAUAGCGAGUAGCGCAGCCAACCAGAACGCAACAUUUUUGAUAGUAGAAAUAGAUUUAUGUUAUACGGGAAUAUACUCCUCACAAAAGUGAAGACUCCUUUUCCUAACGAUUUUAGGCAAAGAAAAGGGCAAGAAAAACUAUCAUUAACUAUUUGUAAUGUGGUAUCUGUAGCCUGUUUCAUCUAAUCGUACUCAAACUGAAGACAAAAUAAAGCCUGGCUAAAAACCUUGAUGCUGAGCAUCCCCGUAAAAAACUUUAAUUUUUUAGGCAUCCAUCCCAAGACUGUAUUACUGUGUCUCCGUGGAUAUGUUUCUGUCUCUAUUUCUGAAAAAAAUGGAGGUGCUUUUCAUAUACCUAACACAACGUAUUGUUUCAGAAACGCAAUUU